rnacentral:rRNA from 1 species
CGGGACACGUGGUAUCCUGUCUGAAUAUGGGGGGACCAUCCUCCAAGGCUAAAUACUCCUGACUGACCGAUAGUGAACCAGUACCGUGAGGGAAAGGCGAAAAGAACCCCGGCGAGGGGAGUGAAAAAGAACCUGAAACCGUGUACGUACAAGCAGUGGGAGCACGCUUAGGCGUGUGACUGCGUACCUUUUGUAUAAUGGGUCAGCGACUUAUAUUCUGUAGCAAGGUUAACCGAAUAGGGGAGCCGAAGGGAAACCGAGUCUUAACUGGGCGUUAAGUUGCAGGGUAUAGACCCGAAACCCGGUGAUCUAGCCAUGGGCAGGUUGAAGGUUGGGUAACACUAACUGGAGGACCGAACCGACUAAUGUUGAAAAAUUAGCGGAUGACUUGUGGCUGGGGGUGAAAGGCCAAUCAAACCGGGAGAUAGCUGGUUCUCCCCGAAAGCUAUUUAGGUAGCGCCUCGUGAAUUCAUCUCCGGGGGUAGAGCACUGUUUCGGCAAGGGGGUCAUCCCGACUUACCAACCCGAUGCAAACUGCGAAUACCGGAGAAUGUUAUCACGGGAGACACACGGCGGGUGCUAACGUCCGUCGUGAAGAGGGAAACAACCCAGACCGCCAGCUAAGGUCCCAAAGUCAUGGUUAAGUGGGAAACGAUGUGGGAAGGCCCAGACAGCCAGGAUGUUGGCUUAGAAGCAGCCAUCAUUUAAAGAAAGCGUAAUAGCUCACUGGUCGAGUCGGCCUGCGCGGAAGAUGUAACGGGGCUAAACCAUGCACCGAAGCUGCGGCAGCGACGCUGAUGCGUUGUUGGGUAGGGGAGCGUUCUGUAAGCCUGUGAAGGUGUGCUGUGAGGCAUGCUGGAGGUAUCAGAAGUGCGAAUGCUGACAUAAGUAACGAUAAAGCGGGUGAAAAGCCCGCUCGCCGGAAGACCAAGGGUUCCUGUCCAACGUUAAUCGGGGCAGGGUGAGUCGACCCCUAAGGCGAGGCCGAAAGGCGUAGUCGAUGGGAAACAGGUUAAUAUUCCUGUACUUGGUGUUACUGCGAAGGGGGGACGGAGAAGGCUAUGUUGGCCGGGCGACGGUUGUCCCGGUUUAAGCGUGUAGGCUGGUUUUCCAGGCAAAUCCGGAAAAUCAAGGCUGAGGCGUGAUGACGAGGCACUACGGUGCUGAAGCAACAAAUGCCCUGCUUCCAGGAAAAGCCUCUAAGCAUCAGGUAACAUCAAAUCGUACCCCAAACCGACACAGGUGGUCAGGUAGAGAAUACCAAGGCGCUUGAGAGAACUCGGGUGAAGGAACUAGGCAAAAUGGUGCCGUAACUUCGGGAGAAGGCACGCUGAUAUGUAGGUGAAGCGACUUGCUCGUGGAGCUGAAAUCAGUCGAAGAUACCAGCUGGCUGCAACUGUUUAUUAAAAACACAGCACUGUGCAAACACGAAAGUGGACGUAUACGGUGUGACGCCUGCCCGGUGCCGGAAGGUUAAUUGAUGGGGUCAGCGCAAGCGAAGCUCUUGAUCGAAGCCCCGGUAAACGGCGGCCGUAACUAUAACGGUCCUAAGGUAGCGAAAUUCCUUGUCGGGUAAGUUCCGACCUGCACGAAUGGCGUAAUGAUGGCCAGGCUGUCUCCACCCGAGACUCAGUGAAAUUGAACUCGCUGUGAAGAUGCAGUGUACCCGCGGCAAGACGGAAAGACCCCGUGAACCUUUACUAUAGCUUGACACUGAACAUUGAGCCUUGAUGUGUAGGAUAGGUGGGAGGCUUUGAAGUGUGGACGCCAGUCUGCAUGGAGCCGGCCUUGAAAUACCACCCUUUAAUGUUUGAUGUUCUAACGUUGACCCGUGAUCCGGGUUGCGGACAGUGUCUGGUGGGUAGUUUGACUGGGGCGGUCUCCUCCUAAAGAGUAACGGAGGAGCACGAAGGUUGGCUAAUCCUGGUCGGACAUCAGGAGGUUAGUGCAAUGGCAUAAGCCAGCUUGACUGCGAGCGUGACGGCGCGAGCAGGUGCGAAAGCAGGUCAUAGUGAUCCGGUGGUUCUGAAUGGAAGGGCCAUCGCUCAACGGAUAAAAGGUACUCCGGGGAUAACAGGCUGAUACCGCCCAAGAGUUCAUAUCGACGGCGGUGUUUGGCACCUCGAUGUCGGCUCAUCACAUCCUGGGGCUGAAGUAGGUCCCAAGGGUAUGGCUGUUCGCCAUUUAAAGUGGUACGCGAGCUGGGUUUAGAACGUCGUGAGACAGUUCGGUCCCUAUCUGCCGUGGGCGCUGGAGAACUGAGGGGGGCUGCUCCUAGUACGAGAGGACCGGAGUGGACGC